rnacentral:rRNA from 1 species
GAAGUCGUAACAAGGUAGGUGUACCGGAAGGUGCGCCUGGAUCACCUCCUUUCUAUGGAGC